rnacentral:misc_RNA from 1 species
UAACCACUCACGCUCUGCGUGGAUUUGGGGCCCGCUGUAUCGGCGGCCCUUAAAACCAGUGGCGGUGCCGUCUGGCUCUACGCGUAGUAAUUUAUCUCGCGAUUGGGCUUUGCGGUUGCUUGCCAACAACCCCCAAUUUUCUAA